AGUGAACGCUGGCGGUAGGCCUAACACAUGCAAGUCGAACGGCAGCACAGUAAGAGCUUGCUCUUACGGGUGGCGAGUGGCGGACGGGUGAGGAAUACAUCGGAAUCUACUUUUUCGUGGGGGAUAACGUAGGGAAACUUACGCUAAUACCGCAUACGACCUACGGGUGAAAGCAGGGGAUCUUCGGACCUUGCGCGAUUGAAUGAGCCGAUGUCGGAUUAGCUAGUUGGCGGGGUAAAGGCCCACCAAGGCGACGAUCCGUAGCUGGUCUGAGAGGAUCAUCAGCCACACUGGAACUGAGACACGGUCCAGACUCCUACGGGAGGCAGCAGUGGGGAAUAUUGGACAAUGGGCGCAAGCCUGAUCCAGCCAUACCGCGUGGGUGAAGAAGGCCUUCGGGUUGUAAAGCCCUUUUGUUGGGAUAGAAAAGCAGCAGGUUAAUACCCCGCUGUUCUGACGGUACCCAAAGAAUAAGCACCGGCUAACUUCGUG
rnacentral:rRNA from 1 species